rnacentral:rRNA from 1 species
GUGUCAGCAGCCGCGGUAAGACAGAGGUGCCAAGCGUUAGGCGGAAUCACUGGGCUUAAAGCGUGUGUAGGCGGAUCGUUAAGUACCUUGUGAAAUCCCACGGCUCAACCGUGGAACUGCUCGGUAUACUGGCGGUCUUGAGCCACCUAGGGGCAACUGGAACAAGCGGUGGAGCGGUGAAAUGCGUAGAUAUCGCUUGGAACGCCAACGGUGAAAACAGGUUGCUGGGGGUGUGCUGACGCUGAGACACGAAAGCCAGGGGAGCGAACGGGAUUAGAUACCCCGGUAGUCC